rfam:Oryza rufipogon genomic scaffold, chr07
AAUAAGUGCAGUUUUACACUAUCACAUUCAACGUUUGACCAUUCAUCUUAUUUAAUUUUUUUUAUGAUUACUAUUUUUAUUGCUAUUAGAUGAUAAAACGUGAAUAGUACUUUAUAUGUGACUAAAUAUUUUCAAAAUUUUCAUAAAUUUUUUAAAUAAGACGGACGAUCAAACGUUGGGCACGAAUAUCUACGGCUGCACUUAUU